CUGCUCCCCCGUCUCCUGCUCUCUGCUCACUUAUCUCAAUCCGACUUUUUUUAAAGUCGGAUUGAGAUUGUCGGAAACGGGGCUAAAACCUGUCGGGUUUGGCCCCGCUUCCGACAAUGCACGCUGAUUGGCAGCUGAAACCGCCGAUCAGAGUGUAUUCCGACAGCAUUCCGACAAGUCGGGUUUCCCGACUUGUCGGAAUAAAUGAGGCCGUAAUGAAUAGGUCGGAACCCCUUCCGACCUAAAACUUUCGGAAGCUGCCGUCUUUCCGAGAACACGGCAGCUUCCGAUAGCUACAGAUGGGUCCAUUGUUAUCUUGACUAGUUUUCUGCGCCUAGGUACAACAUGACUUAUUAGCAUAAACCCUUCAUCAAUUGUUCUCAGAUGAAAUACAAUACAGAGAACAAUACAGCAGGGGAUUACAUCAUUACAGCAGGGGAUUAAGUCCGACUGCCCAGUCUCAGUUAAUCCUAUUAAAGGUCAAGAUAAACGUGGACCCAUCUGUAUUGAAUAUACCCCAUAGUCUCCAUUGGAAUGAAUCUGAGUUACAGUAACUGACAUUACAUUAAGGUUUUUAUACUUUUUGACAUCUAUAUACUCCCAAUUGGGGAGAAAAUGGAUUUCUUACUCUAGAGAUAAAGUGCUUGAUAGCUCUCUCUCUCUCUCUCUCUCUCUCUCUCUCUCUCGCUCUCUCUCUCUCUCUAUAUAUAUAUAUAUAUUGUGUACUAUUUCAUGUUAUCAGUGAUUUUCACUCUUUAUUGAGCUACACAUUUCCUGUGUGGAGCACAGGUGAUAACAAGAAAUUCUUUUGAAAUAAUUCACACUAGUAUGACUUCACUUUGGGGUAGCUGUUAUCCCUUCAACUGUCUCAGUCGUUUAUAGGGUUUAGAGCUCCUCUGGCACUGAGGAACUUUCCUAACUGGAGGUCACUCUAAUGCUAAUGCCGGAUAUGUUUUGUCAGUUGUUGACUUCUUCAGUGGUAUGUAUUUUUCAUAAGUAGCUGAUCCUGAUAUGUCCCCUGUUACAUCCCUUUCAGACCACCAGCAAUAACCCGUGUUAUGUACAAUGAACGUGCAGCAACCUCAGUCUGAAAGGGGCCAGUUGAAAUAACCUGGAUCGAGCAAUCCAGUAUCUCAACUGACCCGGCUCGCAGUACAGUGUGAACAGGAAGAAGAGCAAUAAAGGAAAAAAACAGCAUACAGCACUGCACUGAAAGUUGAUGUUCUGAUCAUGCUUCUGCGGAACUUGACUGUGCCCAAGUUAUGCAAUAGAACCCAACUUCAAGUGACUGCUUUGCAGAGGACCCUAAGGGAGGCAGAGAUUCGAACCAGAUGUGGCACAGUUGACCAUGGAAUAUCCAGCAGGGAUGAAAGUUUACGAACCGUCUUUUUGCAAAGGUGACAUCCUUCACAUUACCACGCUUAAAGUCAAUGAGCCCUUCAGAACGACCCAUUUUAUGUGACAAAUAUUUGCAAAUGGAAACUGCUAAGCUACUGUAGGAGGAGCUUGAUUUUAUACACCUGUGGCAAAUCAAUUUGGUCAGUAUGUAGAAGGAUUGGAAUUAUUGAUUUAAAUAUUGACUCAGUUUCACCUUUUAAUUUACAUAAAUUAGAAGUAUAUUUCUGAUGGCCGAUUUCAAAUACUUCACAAACUGGGAAUGAUCUACAGUAAUUAUUUUAACCUUGUUCUAAAUCUUGAUCCAGGCAUACAUCAGAUCAGGC